AACGAACGCUGGCGGCAUGCCUAACACAUGCAAGUCGAACGAGACCUUCGGGUCUAGUGGCGCACGGGUGCGUAACGCGUGGGAACCUGCCCUUAGGUUCGGAAUAACUCCCCGAAAGGGGUGCUAAUACCGGAUAAUGUCUUCGGACCAAAGAUUUAUCGCCUUUGGAUGGGCCCGCGUUGGAUUAGUUAGUUGGUAGGGUAAAAGCCUACCAAGGCGACGAUCCAUAGCUGGUCUGAGAGGAUGAUCAGCCACACUGGGACUGAGACACGGCCCAGACUCCUACGGGAGGCAGCAGUGGGGAAUAUUGGACAAUGGGCGAAAGCCUGAUCCAGCAAUGCCGCGUGAGUGAUGAAGGCCUUAGGGUUGUAAAGCUCUUUUACCCGGGAUGAUAAUGACAGUACCGGGAGAAUAAGCGCCGGCUAACUCCGUG
rnacentral:rRNA from 1 species